CACGUAGGGGGCAAGCGUUGUCCGGAUUUAUUGGGCGUAAAGAGCGUGUAGGCGGCCAGGUAGGUCUGCUGUGAAAACUCGAGGCUCAACCUCGAGACGUCGGCGGAAACCAUCUGGCUAGAGUCCGGAAGAGGAGAGUGGAAUUCCUGGUGUAGCGGUGAAAUGCGCAGAUAUCAGGAAGAACACCCGUGGCGAAGGCGGCUCUCUGGGACGGUACUGACGCUGAGACGCGAAAGCGUGGGGAGCGAACAGG
rnacentral:rRNA from 1 species